rnacentral:rRNA from 1 species
UGGGGAAUCUUGGACAAUGGGCGAAAGCCUGAUCCAGCCACGCCGCGUGAGUGAAGAAGGCCCUAGGGUUGUAAAGCUCUUUCAGGAGGGAAGAAAUUGACGGUACCUCCACAAGAAGGACCGGCCAACUACGUGCCAGCAGCCGCGGUAAUACGUAGGGUCCGAGCGUUAUCCGGAAUCAUUGGGCGUAAAGAGCUCGUAGGCGGUUCAGCAAGUCGGCUGUGAAAGUUCGAGGCUCAACCUCGAAAUUGCAGUCGAUACUGCUGUGACUCGAGUCCGGUAGAGGAGAAUGGAAUUCCCGGUGUAGCGGUGAAAUGCGCAGAUAUCGGGAGGAACACCAGUAGCGAAGGCGGUUCUCUGGGCCGGCACUGACGCUGAGGAGCGAAAGCGUGGGGAGCAAACAGGAUUAGAUACCCGGGUAGUCC